rnacentral:rRNA from 1 species
GAUGAACGCUGGCGGCGUGCCUAAUACAUGCAAGUCGAGCGAACAGAUGAGGAGCUUGCUCCUCUGACGUUAGCGGCGGACGGGUGAGUAACACGUGGAUAACCUACCUAUAAGACUGGGAUAACUUCGGGAAACCGGAGCUAAUACCGGAUAAUAUAUUGAACCGCAUGGUUCAAUAGUGAAAGACGGUUUUGCUGUCACUUAUAGAUGGAUCCGCGCCGCAUUAGCUAGUUGGUAAGGUAACGGCUUACCAAGGCAACGAUGCGUAGCCGACCUGAGAGGGUGAUCGGCCACAGUGGAACUGGGACACGGUCCAGACUCCUACGGGAGGCAGCAGUAGGGAAUCUUCCGCAAUGGGCGAAAGCCUGACGGAGCAACGCCGCGUGAGUGAUGAAGGUCUUCGGAUCGUAAAACUCUGUUAUUAGGGAAGAACAAAUGUGUAAGUAACUAUGCACGUCUUGACGGUACCUAAUCAGGAAGCCACGGCUAACUACG